rnacentral:lncRNA from 1 species
ACAUGCUGGAGCCCUAGACUCGGUACCUCAGAGUGUGACCUUCUGUGGAGACAGGGUCUUUCCAGAGGUCACAACUGUGGGAUCACAUGACCAGCAUCCUUACAAAAAGGGGAAGUCGGGACACACACAGAAUGCCGUGUGAAGAUGAAGGCUGAGACAGGAGAAUCGCUUUAACCCGGGAGGCAGAGGUUGCAAUGAGCCGAGACGGCACCAUUCACCAUUGCACUCCAGCCUGGGUGACAGAGCAAGACUCUGUCUCAAAACAAACAAACAAACAAACAAAUGAAACGCACAUGAACAG